rnacentral:rRNA from 1 species
CGGGACACGUGGUAUCCUGUCUGAAUAUGGGGGGACCAUCCUCCAAGGCUAAAUACUCCUGACUGACCGAUAGUGAACCAGUACCGUGAGGGAAAGGCGAAAAGAACCCCGGCGAGGGGAGUGAAAAAGAACCUGAAACCGUGUACGUACAAGCAGUGGGAGCCUCUUAAUGGGGUGACUGCGUACCUUUUGUAUAAUGGGUCAGCGACUUAUAUUCUGUAGCAAGGUUAACCGAAUAGGGGAGCCGAAGGGAAACCGAGUCUUAACUGGGCGUUAAGUUGCAGGGUAUAGACCCGAAACCCGGUGAUCUAGCCAUGGGCAGGUUGAAGGUUGGGUAACACUAACUGGAGGACCGAACCGACUAAUGUUGAAAAAUUAGCGGAUGACUUGUGGCUGGGGGUGAAAGGCCAAUCAAACCGGGAGAUAGCUGGUUCUCCCCGAAAGCUAUUUAGGUAGCGCCUCGUGAAUUCAUCUCCGGGGGUAGAGCACUGUUUCGGCAAGGGGGUCAUCCCGACUUACCAACCCGAUGCAAACUGCGAAUACCGGAGAAUGUUAUCACGGGAGACACACGGCGGGUGCUAACGUCCGUCGUGAAGAGGGAAACAACCCAGACCGCCAGCUAAGGUCCCAAAGUCAUGGUUAAGUGGGAAACGAUGUGGGAAGGCCCAGACAGCCAGGAUGUUGGCUUAGAAGCAGCCAUCAUUUAAAGAAAGCGUAAUAGCUCACUGGUCGAGUCGGCCUGCGCGGAAGAUGUAACGGGGCUAAACCAUGCACCGAAGCUGCGGCAGCGACGCUUAUGCGUUGUUGGGUAGGGGAGCGUUCUGUAAGCCUGUGAAGGUGUGCUGUGAGGCAUGCUGGAGGUAUCAGAAGUGCGAAUGCUGACAUAAGUAACGAUAAAGCGGGUGAAAAGCCCGCUCGCCGGAAGACCAAGGGUUCCUGUCCAACGUUAAUCGGGGCAGGGUGAGUCGA